rnacentral:rRNA from 1 species
AUGGAGAGGCAAGUAUAAGAGAUGCUGGACAAUGGCAUUAUCAGACAUACUAACACUCCCUUUUACUCUCUUAUGAUAAUGGUACAAAAGAAAGAUACCACUUGGAGACCAGUUGUUAACUACAACCACUUGAAUGCUAUCACUGCUAAGAGCAAAUACCCUAUACCAGUCAUAGAUGAACUUUUGGAUGAGUUAGUUGGGUCCCAUUGGUUCUCUAAACUGGAUCUUAGGGUUGGUUUCUACCAAAUCAGAAUGGCACCAGGGGAAGAAUAUAAAACUGCAUUCCAGACACACAUGGGGCACUAUGAGUUUUUAGUCAUGUCUUUUGGUCUCACUGGAGCUCCAAAUACUUUUUAG